AUUCCCAGGCCAGGGCCCCAUUCUGUCUGUGGGACUGUGGGUUCUCAGUGGAAUUGUUGCCUUUCUUGUCGUGGAGAAAUUUGUGAGACAUGUGAAAGGAGGACAUGGUCAUAGUCAUGGACAUGGACACGCUCACAGUCACACACAUGGAAGUCAUGGACAUGGAAGACAAGAGUGUUCUACCAAGGAGAAGCAGAGCUCAGAGGAAGAAGAAAAGGAAACAAGGGGGGUUCAGAAGAGGCGAGGAGGGAGCACAGUACCCAAAGAUGGGCCAGUGAGACCUCAGAAUGCUGAAGAAGAAAAAAGAGGCUUAGACCUGCGUGUGUCAGGGUACCUGAAUCUGGCUGCUGACUUGGCACACAACUUCACUGAUGGUCUGGCCAUUGGGGCUUCCUUUCGAGGGGGCCGGGGACUAGGAAUCCUGACCACAAUGACUGUCCUGCUACAUGAAGUGCCCCAUGAGGUCGGAGACUUUGCCAUCUUGGUCCAGUCUGGCUGCAGCAAAAAGCAGGCGAUGCGUCUGCAACUACUGACAGCAGUAGGGGCACUGGCAGGCACAGCCUGUGCCCUUCUCACUGAAGGAGGAGCAGUGGGCAGUGAAAUUGCAGGUGGUGCAGGUCCUGGCUGGGUCCUGCCAUUUACUGCAGGUGGCUUUAUCUACGUAGCAACAGUGUCUGUGUUGCCCGAGCUGCUGAGGGAGGCAUCACCAUUGCAAUCACUUCUGGAGGUGCUGGGGCUGCUGGGGGGAGUUGUCAUGAUGGUGCUGAUUGCCCACCUCGAGUGAGGGGUGGAUAAACUACCCCUGCCCCAAACCUCUAACCCUAACUCCAGGUCAGGGGUACAUAGAGGUUGGGGGCCCUGGCCAGGGACAUCUGCCAAAGGAAGGAACUGUAGCCUGGGAGAAUGGUUACUUUGGCAUUAGGGCCUUCAAGGGCUGGCAGUCUUACAGAGGCUGGAGCGGUGAGAAUGAGAGGCCAGAGGGACCAUAGUGUUGGGCACCGUCUGACCAUGUUGCGUUUGGAAGGCUAAAUGGGGCCAUGAAGAAGGCUGGAAGGGACAGGGGGUGAUGGCAGCCUACCUGGUGUCCCCUACCCCACCUGUUCUCGGAGAACCAGGUUGCUACACAGGAAGUUCUCCAAGGUCCAGUUCCCUUUCUCCCACCAGUUGGUGGAGGCUUCAGGGAAGACCAGAGUCCUGGACAGAGAGGGUAACAGGAAGAGUCGGGGAUAAACAUCAAACAUCAAUCGUGUGUCCUGAUUUGGGAGUGAUUAGGGGGGAUGGGGGUGGGAGAGGGCUAGUUGGUAUUCUCAUGGCCUGAUUUUUUUUGUUUCUAUUCCUUUUAUAUCACUGUGUUUGAAUCGAGGGGGAGGGGUGGUAACCGGAAAUAAAGUCCUCCGAUCUUCCGCCCCACA
rnacentral:sRNA from 1 species